GUGCUACAAACCACAUAUAUUACAACCACUCAGAAAAACAUUUUGUAUAUGUUUAUAUAAUUCAAGAUUCCUAAUAUAUGAAGCGAAUUACUAACCUAAUUUUCCUAAGAUCUACCUCGUUUAUAUAUAUGUUUUAAGCUUUUAUUAAUUACCUCCAACUCGAAUUCAACACAAGGAAUCCACUUGUUGCGGAGAAGGUAGUCAACUUCCUUAGCCAAUUCGGAAUCGGUAAGGUCAGGAAGGUAAGAGAGAGUCUCGAACUUCUUCUUUCCAACGGGAGGCCACACCUAUAUUUUUUUUUUUUAUCGAUUUUUCGAAUCAUAUUAGUUCAUGUAAAUCUAAUUAAAAACCGAUAAUAAAUUAAAAAGUGAAGAAGAAAUAUAUAUGACCUGCAUGCAGUUAACUCUUCCGCCGUUGCUUGUGAUGGAAGUAAUGUCGUUGUUGGCCUUGCGGGUGGCUGGGAAGGCAGCGGAGGACUUAAGUCCGGUGAAAGGAGCGACCAUUGUGGCCUGAGCCGGAGAGGCAACCAUAGUAGCGGAAGAGAGCAUAGAGGAAGCCAUUGUUCUUCUUUAC
rnacentral:lncRNA from 1 species